rnacentral:rRNA from 1 species
GAGUUUGAUCAUGGCUCAGAACGUACGCUGGCGGCACGCCUAACACAUGCAAGUCGAACGAAGUAGCAAUACUUAGUGGCAGACGGGUGAGUAACAUGUAGGUAUCUGCCCUUUGGCCUGGAAUAACACGAGGAAACUUGUGCUAAUACCGGAUAAGUCUUUACGGAGAAAGCUUUAUGCACCAUUGGAUGAGCCUGCACUUGAUUAGUUUGUUGGUGGGGUAGUGGCCUACCAAGACCGUGAUCAAUAGCUGAUUUGAGAGGAUGAUCAGCCACAUUGGGACUGAGACACGGCCCAAACUCCUACGGGAGGCAGCAGUGGGGAAUCUUGCACAAUGGAGGAAACUCUGAUGCAGCGAUGCCGCGUGAGUGAAGAAGGCCCUUGGGUUGUAAAGCUCUUUCGUCGGGGAAGAAAAUGACUGUACCCGAAUAAGAAGGUCCGGCUAACUUCGUGCCAGCAGCCGCGGUAAUACGAAGGGGCCUAGCGUAGUUCGGAAUUACUGGGCUUAAAGAGUUCGUAGGUGGUUGAAAAAGUUAGUGGUGAAAUCCCAGAGCUUAACUCUGGAACUGCCAUUAAAACUUUUCAGCUAGAGUAUGAUAGAGGAAAGCAGAAUUUCUAGUGUAGAGGUGAAAUUCGUAGAUAUUAGAAAGAAUACCAAUUGCGAAGGCAGCUUUCUGGAUCAUUACUGACACUGAGGAACGAAAGCAUGGGUAGCGAAGAGGAUUAGAUACCCUCGUAGUCCAUGCCGUAAACGAUGUGUGUUAGACGUUGGAAAUUUAUUUUCAGUGUCGCAGGGAAACCGAUAAACACACCGCCUGGGGAGUACGACCGCAAGGUUAAAACUCAAAUGAAUUGACGGGGACCCGCACAAGUAGUGGAGCAUGUGGUUUAAUUCGAAGAUACGCGCAGAACCUUACCAACACUUGACAUGUUCGUCGCGACUCUAAGAGAUUAGAGUUUUCGGUUCGGCCGGACGAAACACAGGUGCUGCAUGGCUGUCGUCAGCUCGUGUCGUGAGAUGUUGGGUUAAGUCCCGCAACGAGCGCAACCCUCACUUUUAGUUGCCAUCAUUAAGUUGGGCACUCUGAAAGAACUGCCAGUGAUAAGCUGGAGGAAGGUGGGGAUGACGUCAAGUCCUCAUGGCCCUUACGUGUUGGGCUACACACGUGCUACAAUGGUAUCUACAACAGGAAGCAAAACUGCGAAGUUAAGCAAAUCCCUAAAAGAUACCUCAGUUCGGAUUGCACUCUGCAACUCGAGUGCAUGAAGCUGGAAUUACUAGUAAUCGUGGAUCAGCGUGCCACGGUGAAUGCGUUCCCGGGUCUUGUACACACCGCCCGUCACACCAUGGGAGUUGGUUCUACCUUAAGGCAAGGUUUCAAACCCUUGACCACGGUAUAGUCAGCGACUGGGGUGAAGUCGUAACAAGGUAACC